UCCCCCGUUCUUAUUGUAGUUCAUGGCACAUAGCGGUCUGGAGGGCGCCGCUGCCUUGCAGGAUAACGCCGCUCUGCCGUGGCUGGAAGAGAAGACGAAGCUGGCUGCACCGGGCCGCAGCUGUCGGGUCGCAGCUGCUCGGGGUCGUCUCGCUCUUCAGGGAUGUACGGAAAGUCCAUAUCCCUGGCUUGAAUUAUGUGGUUCUGGUGGCGCUUCCAGGCAAACACACCUCGACCGGUUUCCACGCGAACUCUCUAUGAAACAGGUCCAGUCCGCCCUAACACAAUUCCAGGCAACCACUUUGCACCGCGUCUGAAAUUUCGCACAAGAACACUUUCACCCAUAGCGAAUUCACGUGCGCGCUGCUUGCGACGCACUGUCUGGACGAACUGCCGCGUCGAAACCUUCUGCUGCAGCGAGGGCUUGACGGCAUCUAGACGGGUGCGGAGUCUACGCUGUAGCAGGAGAGUGGCCGGCGCCUCGCCCGUGGUGGCAUGUGGAGUGUUCCUGUAAGACAACAAAAACCCUCCCAACGUGGUGCUUAAGCUCGCGGCAGUACUUUUCCGCAGUGCCGCUUUCGAAGUUUGGACAAAUCGUUCAGCUUGUCCAUUACUGCUCGGAUGGUAGGCUGACGUCCUUACAUGGCGCGUGCCAAUGCUCUUAAGGUAGUUUGAAAACACAGCUGAGAUGAACUGCGGUCCAUUGUCAGAUACCACAACUUCAGGGUAACCAAACCUGCAGAAGAUUUCGUGGAGACUGUUUACUGUGUUUUCCGCGGACGUGUCUCGCAUUUGGCACACCUCCGGCCACUUGGAGUGAGCGUCGACCACAACCAGGAACAUGGCGCCCUUGAAAGGUCCUGCAAAAUCGAUAUGCAGACGUUCCCAUGGUCUGGUUGGCCAUGCCCACGGGUGCAAAGGAGCCGGGCAAGGCAUCGCGCGUAGAGUUAAACAGGGGUUGCAAGAACGCACUUGGGUCUCAAUGUCGCAAUCGAUGCCUGCCCACGAAACACAGAACCUCUUAAAAACUUCUUGAAACGGCUACAAACGGCUAUAGACGUCUUGGUCUAUGAUAAGACAGAAAAUAGAAUUUCUUCUAAACAUAACCUCAGCACUUGGAGUAUGCUAGUAUAUAUUCUAUCUGCGGCAAAAUCCACUACUGGUGUCACUAGAGUCUGUUUUGGUAAACAUAUUCAGAAUGUCUAACUCGAGAACUUUUCUAGAUCUUUUUGUCUAAAAGUGCAUAAUAUGCCCAACGACGUGUUAAAAGUACGGUUACCGUCCGCCGUCGGCGUUAGCGAAUAAAGGACGCCACAGACAAAUCGAACUCGUUGGAAGCAACACAAGUUAAUUGGCGUUAAUAUUAAAUUAUUUCCCACCAGAACUUCAACAAUCAAGGGCGUGUUAUUGUUUUCCAUACGGGACGCGCACACGACGCUUGGAAACCAUUCUAUGUUCGCGCAGCAGGUAUACUGACAGCAGCAGGAGCGAAACGCCGGCGUUGCACAGCGGUGUCACAGAGCCACCGCGCUGCGAUCACUUCGGCGGCACAAUCCAAAUUUGUCGGACAUCUCAUUCUGUGCUGGAAACACUGGGAGGUAGGAAGUUUGAAAAACACGGCCACUGCCGCUCCCAAUGUCUCGGUCGUGGGUUCGUUAUCCAGUUGUGCGUCAUUCUAAGCCGUUCUGUACAUUUAUACUGGAUAUUAACUGGAGUCAUUUAGCUGUGCUAAUGCUGUUUGCCGUGUGUUUUGCAUCAGUGCUUCGUGACAUCGGCUGUAUUGCGUGUUUUCGCCGACGGCUUACUACCACAAUGGCGGGAUCUGCGUUCGCCGCCUUCGUGUCUCGGUGCGUCUUUGUACGUCGCACGUUCGGAUAACACUUUUUCCGAUGGCUGGACAUCCUUCUUGUCCCUUGGCGCUAGCUGGAUGACGGUACCUCAUCAUGACCAGUGUAUUGCUGGCCUAUGUCUACAAGAACUAUCGCGCGUGGCCUGUGACAGCAAGCUUUUGUGGGCAGCAAGUGCUCUCCUACGAAGGCUGGCCUACUCUGGCAGCGGCGGCAAUCAUCUUCAAUAUUGUUCCAUGAUCACCUUUGCUGCUAUUUGUCACUCUUGUUAAUUGCACUUUCUCCAUCUUUU